rnacentral:rRNA from 1 species
AACAUCUUUAACUGCUUCACAGUUAGUAAGACCUGCUCCAUGAAAAUUAAAUAGCCGCUUAUUGUGCUAAGGUAGCAUAAUAAAUAGCCUGAUAAUUUCAGGAUAGAAUGAAAGGUUUAACAUGAAACUUUCUUUAUUAUUUCUAAUAAUUGAACUUUAUUUGAAAGUAAAAAAGCUUUCAUAGCAAGAGGGACGACAAGACCCUGUCGAGCUUAACUUUUGUUGAACUGGGGCAGUCAAAAAUAUAAGCUUUUUAAUUUUAUUUUUCCCAUCCUUAAUUGUGAUAAAUCAAGCUACCGCAGGGAUAACAGCACAAUCCUAUUCAAGAGACCUGAUCAAAAAUAGGGAUUAUGACCUCGAUGUUGAAUUAAUUUUUCUCUUUGGAGCAAAAUCUCAAGAAGUAAGUCUGUUCGACUUUUAAUAAAUUACGUGAUCUGAGUUCCAGAACCGG